rnacentral:rRNA from 1 species
CCCUUAGAUGUUCUGGGCCGCACGCGUGCUACACUGAGUGGAUCAGCGGGUCAGGUUGCGCGAAAGUGUUUCCUAAUCUUUAAAUCCGCUCGUGAUGGGGAUUGACGGUUGCAAUUUUCCGUCAUGAACGAGGAAUACCUAGUAAGCGCGGGUCAUCAUCCCGCGCUGAAUACGUCCCUGCCCUUUGUACACACCGCCCGUCGCUCCUACCGAUUGAGUGGUCCGGUGAGGCUUUGGGAUCUGAGCGGAAAGAGCGUUUCGCUGUUUCUGCCCGGAAAACUCAGUCGAACCUUAUCAUUUAGAGGAAGGAGAAGUCGUAACA